CAGUCUGCCCGUUCUCAGGUCUGCCCGUUCUCAGAUCUCCAGCUGCGUGCUGGGAGAACCACUGCUCUCUUCAAAGCUGUCAGACAGGGACAUUUAAGUCUGCAGAGGUUACUGCUGUCUUUUUGUUUGUCUGUGCCCUGCCCCCAGAGGUGGAGCCUACAGAGGCAGGCAGGCCUCCUUGAGCUGUGGUGGGCUCCACCCAGUUGGAGCUUCCGGGCUGCUUUGUUUACCUAAUCAAGCCUGGGCAAUGCGGGCGCCCCUCCCCCAGCCUCACUGCCGCCUUGCAGUUUGAUCUCAGACUGCUGUGCUAGCAAUCAGCGAGACUCCGUGGCGUAGGACCCUCCGAGCCAGGUGCGGCGUAUAAUCUCGUGGUGCGCUGUUUUUUAAGCCUGUCGGAAAAGCUCAGUAUUCGGGUGGGAGUGACCCGAUUUUCCAGACGGAGUUUCACUCUUGUUGCCCAGGCUGGGGUACAAUGGCACGAUCUUGGCUCACUGCAACCUCCGCCUCCCAGGUUCAAGCGGUUCUCCUGCUUCAGCAUCCGGAGUAGCUGUGAUUACAAACAUGUGCCACUACACCCGGAUCUCAUGGUCUUUUCUUAACAUUUCUUGGUGACGAGGAUGGGAUUUGAAGUGGCACCCUUGCUUUUCCCCAACACUAUCUGGACCAAUGCAUUUGCACCUGCAAGAACCCCUUGAGCUCACUUAUCUUCCUGGCUGCACCAGGGAGAAAUGAGAACCUGAAGACCGAAUCCUCUGAGAACAACAGAGAUACUUUCUUGCCAUGUACACUCCAGCAAAAUCUUCGGGACCUUGAACUUUGGGUUCAUAAUCUCACAACUGAGAAGGAUUACUCCACACUCAUAGAACUGCACACCCAUUGGACCCCUUAAGGUGAAGCUAACCAGGGAAUUUUCUCCCCAGAAGAAGAAGAUAUUCUUGAUAUGAACAGCUUUUCCAAAAAUCAUGGAUCAAGAUUUCUACUAUUAUAAGACUCUUAUCUUUGAAUAUUUUUCCCUUGCUUAUACCUCUAUGAACAACAGAAGUGAAAAGAGGGUCUAUUUUGUGCACAUAUGGGUAUACAUUUAUUUGUGAAUAAUUUUGCAGCCAGCCUUAUACAUAGAUAAACUUAUGUCUUGAUAGAUGAAAGAUGAAGAUGCAAUGUAGGUGAGAAACCUUAAUGAUAUAUACAGUGUCACAUAGUUAGAAACAGAACAUUGGUUCACUCCUCCUAACCCACAUCAUGAGUUAAAGAGAACAUUGCCAGGAGGCCUUCACUCUUCUAGAAAGGCAUCAUUUGUUAGGUCCUUUUCUUUCAUGGUUUGGAGCAAAAAAAAAAAAAAGCAAUGAUUAGAAAUGUAUCCCUCAUAAUAGGCUCUAUUGCAGACUCUACUGUAAAGGCUGUGGUUACACGACAGACUUUAAAUUCUCCUUUGAAAUAAAAUUGCUCUAGAUUAUAAACUGGCUAAACAGAGAAGUAUCUGAGGAACUGCCGGCACUUGUGGCCUAUGGAGAAAUAUAUCAAAUGUAGAUUAUAGAUAUUCAGUUACAGAAGAUUAACAAAAAGACUGCUGAGUUAAUUGAGUGGCCUCUUAUCUAGUUCACUCUUUACUUAAUUUUAGGUGGUUUGGUUUAUGGGGACCCUGGGUAAGAAGCAUAUACCAAACUCUUGGUAUUAUUCUCCUAAUAGUCAUAAUAGAUUUCCUGGUACACUGUAUUCUCUGAAAAGUUUUAAAUGUUUGCAUGUAGCCAUCUCUAGAAUGUCAAAUGGUAUCUCUUCAACUGGAAUGACAAGAGCUGACAGACAUGUGUGACCAUGAGGACACCAUAACCUAUGAAUGACAUGCUGAGACUGGAAACCCAAAAUGGUGGGUCACCCAGACUGGAGUGCAGUGGUGCAAUCUCAGAUCACCCCAAACUCUACCUCCCAGGCUCAAUCAAUUCUGCCUCAGCCUCCCAAGUAGCUGGGAUGACAGGUGUGUGCCACUACUGCCUGGCUAAUUUUUGUAUUUUUAGUAGAGACGGAGUUUCACCAUGUUGUCCAGGCUGGUCUUGAACUCCUGACCUUAAAUGAUCCACCCACCUCAGCCUCCCAAACUGGGAUUAUAGGAGUGAGCCACUACUCCCAGCCCUGUUUUGACUUUUAUCACCCAAGAUUGGUUUUGUAAGUUCUUGAGUUUCUUAAAAAUGGACUCACAAAGCAUGUGUUUGUGUCUGACUUCUUUCACUUAGCAUAUUUUUUGCUUUGUUUCUAUUAUUCCAUUAUAAGAAUAAGACACUCAUCUCUUUAUGAACGCUUAGUUUUGAUCUUUCAGUGAUUAUAAAUAAAGCUUCUAUGAAUAUUGUUACAGAAGUCUUUAUCUGUAUGUAUAUUUUCAUUUUACUUGGAAUAAAUACCCAAGGAUGAAACUGGUAGGCCAUAUGCCACACACGUAUAUAUGCAAAAAAGCAUUCCAAAUAUGUUUUGUCACUUUACAAUUUUACGAGACUUAUUAAUAGAUGCCAACAUCCCCACCAAUAUUUGAAAUCACCAAAUUUUGAAAUCUUAGUCACUCCAGUAGAUGCAAUGUAAUAGCCCACUCUGUUUUUUUUAUUUACAUUUCAUUGAUGAUUAAUACCAUUUAGCACCUUAACUUUUUGCUGUGGAAAUUUUUAACUCAUUUUGUCUUUUAUUUUACACAUUGUAUUGAGUUUGUCUCUUUUUAAAUUUGUUUUUAAUUGUCAAAUAAAAAUUGUAUAUAUUGUUUUACUUCGAACUCUGCAGCUAGUUCACACUGAGCCACCAGAAACGUGUCAAUUAGAGCUGUAAGCGAUUCUACAGAUAUUGACUUCAUCUCUGAGGGUUUGUUCUUAGAAAGCUAUGAUUAUAUGUAUCCACCUAUCUGUUUCUGUAGGUUUUGGCCAACAGUUUGCCCUGUAACCUCAAUUCUCUGAUGCAUCUAAGAAAGAUUAUUGAUUUUCAGUAUGUUCUUAUUCUUCUUGUGAGGAUACAAAAAAAUGACUUCAAAGAUCUUUACCUAUUGGACUGGAAACUGAGAGUCUAUAAAUGAUAUUUAAAAAUUUUAUUUUCCAAAUGGUUUUUGCUAGUAUUCAAAAUAGUAUUUACUUAUUUAUAUUGACUUUUUAUUCUGCAUCCAUACUCUAAGCACUUACAUUUUUCUAGUACUGCUUUGGUACAUUCUUUAGUAUUUUCUAUAUACAAAAUAUAAACAAGGACCAAUUUACCAUUUCUUUUCCAAUAUUUAUAUAAUAUUCCCCCCAUUGCUUUGCCUUAUUGUAUUAGCUUAGAUCUCCUGUACAAUGGUAAAAAGAGUGAAAAGAACAAAUAUCUUUGCCUUAUUUCUGAUCCUAAACUGGGACUAUUCAAUAUUUCACUUAGUAUGAUGCUAGUUGUAGAUUUUUCCUAUAUGUCUUUCAUUAGAUAGAGGAAGUUUCCUUCCGUUCCUAACUUUCUAAGAAUUUGUUGUUGGUGUCACACUUUGAGUUUAAAUUAUGAUGGGUACUGAACUUUGUGAAAUUAUUUUUCUCCUUAUAUUGAGAUGAUCAUGCAACGUUAUCCUUUAUCCAGUUAAUGGAGUAGAUUGCAACGAUAGGUUAUAUGUGUGUUGCUUAAUUUAAAAAAAUGUGUAAGCAUUUACUAGAUUGUUACUGCUUUCCUAUCUAAUUCCAUUGUGAUGAAAGAAUAUGUUCUGGAUGAUUGAAUGCUUAAAAUUUACUUUUAAGUGUGUUUCAUAGUCCAGAAUGUGGUCAACCUUGAUGAAUGCUCCAUAUUCACUCAAUGUGUAUUGUGCUGUUCUUGGUUAUUUGAAGUUCUAUAAAUGCAAAAUAAGUCUAAUUGUACAACAACCUUUUUCCAUUAUUCUAUCUUUUUCAGUGUUUUGUCAACUGUUUUGCUAAUGACUGAGAGAUAAGUGCUAAAAUC